rnacentral:sRNA from 1 species
ACUUAUACUUGUUCAAGCUCUCAUACUUCUUCUCUAGCGUUUCAAAUUUCUU